UGGGGAAUAUUGGGCAAUGGGGGGAACCCUGACCCAGCAACGCCGCGUGAAGGAAGAAGGUUUUCGGAUUGUAAACUUCUGUCCUUGGUGAAGAGGAAGAGACGGUAGCCAAGGAGGAAGCCCCGGCUAACUACGUGCCAGCAGCCGCGGUAAUACGUAGGGGGCAAGCGUUAUCCGGAAUUAUUGGGCGUAAAGAGUGCGUAGGUGGUUUUGUAAGCGCGGGGUGAAAGGCAAUAGCUCAACUAUUGUAAGCCCUGCGAACUGUGAGACUUGAGUGCAGGAGAGGAAAGUGGAAUUCCUAGUGUAGCGGUGAAAUGCGUAGAUAUUAGGAGGAACACCAGUGGCGAAGGCGACUUUCUGGACUGUAACUGACACUGAGGCACGAAAGCGUGGGGAGCAAACAGG
rnacentral:rRNA from 1 species